rnacentral:rRNA from 1 species
AAGACCUUGCGCUUUUGGAGCGGCCGAUGCCUGAUUAGCUUGUUGGUAAGGUAAAAGCUUACCAAGGCUUCGAUCAGUAGCUGGUCUGAGAGGACGACCAGCCACACUGGGACUGAGACACGGCCCAGACUCCUACGGGAGGCAGCAGUGGGGAAUUUUGGACAAUGGGGGCAACCCUGAUCCAGCCAUGCCGCGUGAGUGAAGAAGGCCUUCGGGUUGUAAAGCUCUUUCGGCCGGAACGAAACGGUUACGGAUAACACCCGUGACUACUGACGGUACCGGAAGAAGAAGCACCGGCUAACUACGUGCCAGCAGCCGCGGUAAUACGUAGGGUGCGAGCGUUAAUCGGAAUUACUGGGCGUAAAGCGUGCGCAGGUGGUUUUGUAAGUCAGAUGUGAAAGCCCCGGGCCCAACCUGGGAACU